UAAGACGAACCGUACAAACGUUAUUCGGAAUCACUGGGCUUAAAGGGUGCGUAGGCGGUGCGGAAAGUUGGGUGUGAAAUCCCUCGGCUUAACCGAGGAAUUGCGCCCAAAACUACCGUGCUUGAGGGAGACAGAGGUGAGUGGAACUUAGGGUGGAGCGGUGAAAUGCGUUGAUAUCCUAAGGAACACCAGUGGCGAAAGCGACUCACUGGGUCUCAUCUGACGCUGAGGCACGAAAGCUAGGGUAGCGAACGGGAUUAGAUACCCCGGUAGUCCUAGCUGUAAACGAUGAGCACUAGGCUGGAGGGUCUUCCAUAACCUUCCAGCCGGAGCGAAAGUGUUAAGUGCUCCGCCUGGGGAGUAUGGUCGCAAGGCUG
rnacentral:rRNA from 1 species